rnacentral:misc_RNA from 1 species
GAUGAAGAACGUAGCGAAAUGCGAUAAGUAAUGUGAAUUGCAGAUUUCAGUGAAUCAUCGAAUCUUUGAACGCACAUUGCGCCCCCUGGUAUUCCGGGGGCAUGCCUGUUCGAGCGUCAUUUCACCACUCAAGCCUCGCUUGGUAUUGGGCAACGCGGUCCGCCGCGUGCCUCAAAUCGACCGGCUGGGUCUUCUGUCCCCUAAGCGUUGUGGAAACUUUCGCUAAAGGGUGUUCGGGAGGCUACGCCGUAAAACAACCCCAUUUCUAAGGUUGACCUCGGAUCAGGUAGGGAUACCCGCUGAACUUAAGCAUAUCAAUAAGCGGAGGA